CCUACGGGGAGCAGCAGUGGGGAAUAUUGGGCAAUGGGCGAAAGCCUGACCCAGCAACGCCGCGUGAAGGAAGAAGGUUUUCGGAUCGUAAACUUCUAUCCUUGGUGAAAAUAAUGAUGGUAGCCAAGAAGGAAGCCCCGGCUAACUACGUGCCAGCAGCCGCGGUAAUACGUAGGGGGCAAGCGUUGUCCGGACUGAUUGGGCGGAAAGGGCGCGUAGGCGGCCUGGUAAGUCUGGAGUGAAAGUCCUCCUUUUAAGGUGGGAAUUGCUUUGGUUACUGUCGGGUGUGAGUGCAGGAGAGGUAAGUGGAAUUCCCGGUGUAGCGGUGAAAUGCGUAGAGAUCGGGAGGAACACCAGUGGCGAAGGCGACUUACUGGACUGUAACUGACGCUGAGGCGCGAAAGUGUGGGGAGCAAACA
rnacentral:rRNA from 1 species